CUACGGGUGUCAGCAGUGGGGAAUAUUGGACAAUGGGCGAAAGCCUGAUCCAGCCAUGCCGCGUGUGUGAAGAAGGCCUUCGGGUUGUAAAGCACUUUCAGUGGGGAAGAAAGCCUUGGGGCUAAUACCCUCGAGGAAGGACAUCACCCACAGAAGAAGCACCGGCUAACUCCGUGCCAGCAGCCGCGGUAAUACGGAGGGUGCGAGCGUUAAUCGGAAUUACUGGGCGUAAAGCGCGCGUAGGCGGUCUGAUAAGCCGGUUGUGAAAGCCCCGGGCUCAACCUGGGAACGGCAUCCGGAACUGUCAGGCUAGAGUGCAGGAGAGGAAGGUAGAAUUCCCGGUGUAGCGGUGAAAUGCGUAGAGAUCGGGAGGAAUACCAGUGGCGAAGGCGGCCUUCUGGACUGACACUGACGCUGAGGUGCGAAAGCGUGGGUAGCAAACAGGAUUAGAUACCCUGGUAGUC
rnacentral:rRNA from 1 species